GACGAACGCUGGCGGCGUGCUUAACACAUGCAAGUCGAACGGAAAGGCCCUGCUUUUGUGGGGUGCUCGAGUGGCGAACGGGUGAGUAACACGUGAGUAACCUGCCCUUGACUUUGGGAUAACUUCAGGAAACUGGGGCUAAUACCGGAUAGGAGCUCCUGCUGCAUGGUGGGGGUUGGAAAGUUUCGGCGGUUGGGGAUGGACUCGCGGCUUAUCAGCUUGUUGGGGGGGUAGUGGCUUACCAAGGCUUUGACGGGUAGCCGGCCUGAGAGGGUGACCGGCCACAUUGGGACUGAGAUACGGCCCAGACUCCUACGGGAGGCAACAGUGGGGAAUAUUGCACAAUGGGCGGAAGCCUGAUGCAGCAACGCCGCGUGCGGGAUGACGGCCUUCGGGUUGUAAACCGCUUUCGCCUGUGACGAAGCGUGAGUGACGGUAAUGGGUAAAGAAGCACCGGCUAACUACGU
rnacentral:rRNA from 1 species